rnacentral:rRNA from 1 species
CCCUUAGAUGUUCUGGGCCGCACGCGCGCUACACUGAUGCAUUCAACGAGCCUAAAACCUGGUCUGAUAGGGCUGGGUAAUCUUUUGAAAGUGCAUCGUGAUUGGGAUAGAUGAUUGCAAUUCUUCAUCUUCAACGAGGAAUGCCUAGUAAACGCAAGUCAUCAGCUUGCAUUGAUUACGUCCCUGCCCUUUGUACACACCGCCCGUCGCUCCUACCGAUUGAAUGGUCCGGUGAAAUCUUCGGAUUGCUGGAUAGGACUUCAUUGACCUAUCUGCGAGAAGUUGCUUGAACCUUAUCAUUUAGAGGAAGGAGAANUCGUANCA